GAUGAACGCUGGCGGUAUGCUUAACACAUGCAAGUCGAACGGACUCUUCGGAGUUAGUGGCGGACGGGUGAGUAACGCAUGAGAAUCUGGCUUUGGGUUCGGGACAACCACUGGAAACGGUGGCUAAUACCGGAUGUGCCGAGAGGUAAAAGAGAAAUUGCCUGAAGAUGAGCUCGCGUCUGAUUAGCUAGUUGGUGAGGUAAAGGCUCACCAAGGCAGCGAUCAGUAGCUGGUCUGAGAGGAUGACCAGCCACACUGGGACUGAGACACGGCCCAGACUCCUACGGGAGGCAGCAGUGGGGAAUUUUCCGCAAUGGGCGAAAGCCUGACGGAGCAAUACCGCGCGAGGGAAGAAGGCUCUUGGGUUGUAAACCUCUUUUCUUAGGGAAGAACAAAAUGACGGUACCUAAGGAAUCAGCAUCGGCUAACUCCGUG
rnacentral:rRNA from 1 species